rnacentral:rRNA from 1 species
UACGUAGGGUGCAAGCGUUGUCCGGAAUUAUUGGGCGUAAAGAGCUCGUAGGCGGUCUGUCGCGUCUGGUGUGAAAAUCCAGGGCUUAACCCUGGACCUGCAUUGGGUACGGGCAGACUAGAGUGCGGUAGGGGAGAUCGGAAUUCCUGGUGUAGCGGUGAAAUGCGCAGAUAUCAGGAGGAACACCAAUAGCGAAGGCAGCUCGCUGGGACGGUACUGACGCUAAGGCGCGAAAGCGUGGGGAGCGAACAGG